rnacentral:rRNA from 1 species
AUUGAACGCUGGCGGAAUGCUUUACACAUGCAAGUCGAACGGCAGCACGGGGCAACCUGGUGGCGAGUGGCGAACGGGUGAGUAAUACAUCGGAACGUGCCCAAUCGUGGGGGAUAACGUAGCGAAAGUUACGCUAAUACCGCAUACGAUCUACGGAUGAAAGCGGGGGAUCGCAAGACCUCGCGCGAAUGGAGCGGCCGAUGUCAGAUUAGGUAGUUGGUGGGGUAAAGGCUCACCAAGCCGACGAUCUGUAGCUGGUCUGAGAGGGCGACCAGCCACACUGGGACUGAGACACGGCCCAGACUCCUACGGGAGGCAGCAGUGGGGAAUUUUGGACAAUGGGCGCAAGCCUGAUCCAGCCAUUCCGCGUGCAGGAUGAAGGCCUUCGGGUUGUAAACUGCUUUUGUACGGAACGAAAAGGCUCUGGUUAAUACCUGGAGUUUAUGACGGUACCGUAAGAAUAAGCACCGGCUAACUACGUG